rnacentral:lncRNA from 1 species
CUCCCAUGUAAGAGCUUGCAAGGGUGGGCUGAGGAAAAACAAGAAUUACUUCCUCAGAGAGCUGUUGUUGCAACACCUCAUCAAGCACUAUAUCGGUAGGGUACACCACAAGUUCAUUUUCCAGCCUUUUCACAUUGGUAAAAUUCCUGUUCGGAAUUUUCAAAGGACAGUCAUGCAUUUCCUCCUUUUUUUGACCACAGUAAAAACAGAUUUCCC